rnacentral:rRNA from 1 species
GACGAACGCUGGCGGCGUGCCGAAUACAUGCAAGUAGAACGCAGUUGCGAACGGGUGAGUAACGCGUAGGUAACUGCCUCAUAGCGGGGGAUAACUAUUGGAAACGAUAGCUAAUACCGCAUCCUGUGAGAUGGACCUGCGUUGUAUGAGCUAGUUGGGGAGGUAAAGGCUCACCAAGGCGACGCUACAUAGCCGACCUGAGCGGGUGAUCGUCCACUCUGGGACUGAGUCACUGCCCAGCCCCCUCCGGGUGUCAGCCGUAGAGAAUCUUCUGCAAUGGACGGAAGUCUGACCGAGCACCGCCGCGUGAGUUAAGAAGGUUUUCGGAUCCUAAAGCUCUGUUGUUAGAGAAGCGGUAACUACCCAGAAAGGGUCGGCUAACUACGUGCCAGCCGCCGCGGUAAUUC